UUUUAUCGCACCAGAAGUGACUUGUUUGGUCUCUGAUUCUUGCACUCAGGCACAAGACAACCUGACAUUUCAGGAGAUGGUCUGUCAGAAUUGGAUCUCUGAGUGGGGUGGCUCUUGAUAGGGAUCCCUGUUAACUGUGACUAGAAUCCUGAGAAGAGAAAAACCUUCCUGAAAUGGGCAUAUCCCUGGCUGGCCUGGAACCAACCUUUCGGACUUAGGACUAUGGGAAGAAUAGGGGGAGAUUCUCUAGUGAUGAUAAUACAUGAAUGCUUUAAAAGCUAGAACAGGCGUCCCUGGGUGGUCUUGAACUACUCACCGUUCGGUUAAUAGCCGAACGCUCUGACCGAUUGCGCCACAGAGACAGGUACUAGCGAUUCCACUGGGCGCUAUAGGCAGGGCGCACUCACCGAACUCCCCAAUCCCUUCCAGCCUCAGAGCCCGCCUGGCAGGACUACUGAGCAAGGCCUUGGAAAAUCGGAGCGAUUAGAGCGGUUCAAACAAUACAGAAGUGUAUAAAGUAAGAAUUGAAAGUCUCUUCGCUGCUCUAAUCUCACUCCUCAGAGGUGAUCACUGUGUGGAAGAUGAUCAAAGUAUGACAUUUCUUCUACCCCAGAGGCUGGCAUUUCUGCAGGCACAAAUGAGCUUGGUUUUCAAGCACUGCUCUUUGAACACAAGGAAUUCCUUUAAUGAUCACGCCGGACUAUAUAGACUUUGGAAUCAGACUCUUUGAAUUCCAGCUCUGCCAUUUACCAACUUUGACACUUUGGGUAAGUCCUUUUAACCUCUUUAAGCCUCAGUUUCCUUUUCUGCAAACAGGAAUAAUGAUAAC
rnacentral:tRNA from 10 species